rnacentral:misc_RNA from 1 species
GUGACAUGCGCAGUACUGAUAAUGUCAGACAUAAAAAGCUAAACAUUGCAUUUUAGCCAUUGUGAAAAAUCAUCUCAAAUCGUUAUUAUUAUUUUUUUUUCUUGUGUCCAAGAAGCCACAUCAAGGAGUAACUGCAUUCGUACGACCUUUUACCAAAAUUGAAAGUGAGACCUUCCGGUCCUGCUCCAGAAAUAAGGAAUUUAACCUCUUUGGAAACCCCGAGUGUUAAAUGGUCUUGGAAAUGUACCCAGCAACCGAAAAUAAUUCGGGGACGGUCCCUGCUUUUCUAUCCAAACUAUGGACGUUAGUGGAAGAUCGUGCCUACGACGACCUCAUCAGUUGGGGAAUGAAUGGCAAAAGCUUCCAUGUCCAUGACCAAGUGAGAUUUGCAAAGGAAAUAUUACCAUUGUACUUCAAACACAACAACAUUGCCAGUUUUAUUCGGCAACUGAAUAUGUAUGGCUUCCGAAAAGUGAUUAAUUUAGAGCAAGGCUCUCUCAAGACAGAGAAGGAUAAUUUACAGUUUCAACAUAAUUAUUUUGUGAAAGGCAAAGAGAACUUGCUGGAAUUAAUUAAAAGAAAAGUACCCAAUGUAAAAAUUGAUGCGACAAAACUUAAUCCUGAAGAAUUAGGGAAGCUUUAUACUGAUGUAAAAAUGUGGAAAAAUAAACAAGAUCACAUUAAUGCUAAAUUGGAAACCAUGAAAAGACAGAAUGAUGCAUUGUGGAGGGAAGUGGCAUCACUGCGACAGAAACACAAGCAGCAGCAGCAGAUAGUGAACAAACUUAUCCAACUGCUGGUGACUUUCAUCCAACACAACCGAGGUUUACCAAAUGUCAAAAGACAGCUGCCAAGAAUGAUUGAGGAUGCUUCAGAACCUCAAGAAACAGUUGUAGUGCCUGCCAAGAGAGCUUGUUUUCAGAAACAGCUCUCUAUUGAAGAGAAUGGAGAUCUCCCAACUUCACAAACAGCUCAAGUUGUCGAACACUGUCUAUCGCCUAAUGUAACGGCAGUGGAAGAAAUACCAUAUCCAGGGAUUAUGGAAAGUAUCACUGAUGUAUUUGAUGAGACACCAUGUAUUUAUCCAACAAUCAUUGAAUUGGGAGAGAAUGAAGAACCACAGAAUGAAGAUAAUCAUCAGCUACAAGAAGUAUCUCCCAGUGAGGAAGCUUUAUUAAACAAAGAUGUAGUUCUCAGUGGAAAUACUACUCCAAAACAUGUAAUGCUGACGGAACCUGAUACUACCAGCCAAGACCUUAUUCUUAUAAACCCAGAAGCUGAACGGUUUUGUGACAUAGUGGACCCAAUGAAACAUGAAGCUCUGGCUGAACAACUUGAUUCAAUACAAAAUGAUUUGGAUGGUCUCCAAGGAAUGCUAUCAGAUUCUAGUUCCACCUACAACUUGGAUACCAAUACUUUAUUGUCUCUCCUGACUACUUUUGAUGAUCCUAAAGAUGAGGAUAAAACAGAGAAAGCAAAAGAACUAGAAAACAAUUCACUCCUAAGCAGAUUUUAACUCUACACAAAGCACAAAUACUCCUUACACCAGAAUCUCUCUCAUAUAUCUUUGAUUGUAAUGAACUGAUUGCAUAUCCACAAGAAGAUCUCUCCUCUUGGCUGGUCGAUUCUCCAUCUGCUAGCAGUGAAUUAAAUGAUGAUAUAGACAGCACAAUUGAUGCGACCUCCUUAGAUACUCCUGAUUGCAAUUUUGAC